rnacentral:lncRNA from 1 species
CCCAGUUUUGGAGAGCGUUAUCUGUCUUCUGCACUUUUUGAUUCCAUUAGGCAUGAGGCGGAAAACUUGAGUAUUUGCUGAAAGUGUUGCUGAAUCGGCCUUUUCUUAGUUUCCUAGCUCCUUGAAAUAACACGAAAACUUUGCUCCAGUUUGAAAUGAAAAUAUUUCUGGGACCUUUUACCAAUGAACUAAUAAACUCUGGUUGAUGGCUUUCUUCUUGAUAGCAUCAGUAGUAGCAAUGUUAAGAAAAUCUGUGUUUGACCAAAAAUGAAUAGAAAGUUAAAGAAAAAGGAGUUCCCAGUAGUAGCAAUGUUAGAUUUUCUUGGUUUUUGUUGUUUGAUUGUCAAUUUCUAUCCUGACAAAAACAGUACCUGACAUAAACAAUAUCCAAUAAAAAUUGAUUAUACAAUUAACGGAUGUGAGUGGAGGAUCUUCACAAAAAGAAUCGAAUGAGGAUCCUCACAAAAAGAAUCGAAUGAGGAUCCUCUUGUUUGAACUGAUAUCCCUUUCCUUAUCUAUUAAAACCCCUCACCUGUCCCACCAAUACAACAACCAAAACAUCUAUUUCCAUAUAUUUUGACUUUUGCAAUAUAUAUUUAUGUAAUCAUUUUAUAUAAAACAACCAAAGCAUCUAUUUCCAUCUAUUUCCGUAUAUUUUGACAUUUUGCAAUAUAUAUUUAUAUAAACAUUAUUGUAUAUUAAUGCAUAUUUUUAUUAACGUGUCCAUGCCGUCUUAUAUCCUAAUAUUUAGAAAAUAGUUGUAUUGUUGUAUUUGUGUCUCUAUCCAUGCUACAUAGUUAGUACCAAAAGGAUUUGGUUGUUUAUAUUUUUCCGGAACUUUUUACCCUUUUAAAUUUCGUCCCCUAGACGAUUUCUGGCUUCGCCACUAAGGGGGUGAUUGAAAAUUUAGGAAUGCACUUAUUUAUUAAAGGCUAAAUAGCUAAAAUGGUCUAUGAGAUUUGCAUAAUCAAUAGAAAUAGUCAUUGAUUCAAAAUCAAUAGAAAUUGUCUCUGAGAUAAUCCAUCAUCCAUGAUUUUGGUCAUUCCAUUAAAAACUCUUUGGGUAAUUUUCAAAGCUUCGUAACUCAAGGGUGAUUGAAAAUUUAGGAAUGUACUUAUUUAUUAAAGGCUAAAUAGUCAAAAUGGUCCAUGAGAUUUGCAUAAUCAAUAGAAAUGGUCACUGAGAUUCAAAAUCAAUAGAAAUGGUCUCUGAGAUUGUCCAUCAUCCAUGAUUUUGGUCAUUCCAUUAAAAACUCUUAGGGCAAUUGUCAAAACUUCGUAACUUAAUCAUUUCACAACCAAAUUCGACCCAUAAUAUAUUAACAUGAAGAUAGGAAAGUGUAAAACAAGAUUAUAUAUAUUUGGAAGCUCAAUGGUUGCUGAAUAUGGCUGGAAAAUAGUCUGAAAUGUGACUGGUCCACUGGAAAACUGAAAAACUCGCUGGAAACUGGGUAAACUUUAAACAUUCAUAACUUCUUCAAUACUCAACGAAAUCGAGUGAUUCAAAAACCAAAAUCAUACUUCUCGACAAGAUGAAGAGUUUUUAAUGGAAUGACCAAAAUCAUGGAUGGUGGACAAUCUCAGAGACUAUUUCUAUUGAUUUUCAAUCUUAGGGACCAUUUCUAUUGAUUUUCAAUCUUAGGGACCAUUUCUAUUAAUUAUGCAAAUCUCAAUGACCAUUUUAGCUAUUUAGCAUUUAUUAAAUAUAGUUUAACAUAGUAGUCGGUUUCUUAUGUAUGCAAUUAGGAUUAAAUAAAUGUGGAAGGGUCUAACUGUAAACUAUAGUGGUUGUUGAUUAUUUGAAACCAAAAGUGUAUUUUAUGGUUUGGAAAUGAAAUUUGAAUUUAUUAUCCGCCAUCUCAGUUCUUAUGUCAAGAGUUUUGACAUCUUUGGGAGAACAUAGUGUUGGUUCAUUUAAUUUUCCCAACACAUAGUUUUAAUGGCAUUUGGUAUAUGCAUUUGCCAAUUAUGUGUAGUUGAUUAAGUUCUUUAAUUUUAGUAUAACCUUGCUAAAUCCUAAUCAUAAAUGCACUUUGGAUGUAAGAGUAAUGAUGUGAUACUUUCUAGGGAAUUUUUAUUUGGACCUAGCUAUCCUCUUUUCACACCAAACUUUAAUAUUUUUGCACCUAAAUUCUCAAUUUUACCCUUAGAAAAAACUAAAAGGGCAAAAAUGAAAAAAAAAAAAAAAAAACCUAACCAACCCCCCCCCGCGACAACAACACUGUUUCCGGCAACUCUCCUCCCAUCGCCGUCGAAUCUGCCAUCAGCGCCAUCGUUUCUCUUCCUCUUUCACUUCUUCCUCUUCCUUCUCUCUUGUUUCUCAAUUUUCGUCUCAGAUUUGAAUCCUAAUGAUUGAAAGGAUCAAAUCUCGCCCUGGUGAUUUUGGCCUUAAGUUCUUCAUCGUGACGAUGGGGGUUGGAACCGCCACUUUAGACCAAACCUUGGCGGUGAUGGAGCUUGCUGCUAAUGAGGUGGAACUAAGCGUCCUUGUUGGCGAACGCCGUGAACGACUAGCCGUCGGAGAAAGUAAGUUAAAGACAUAAUCAAAUGUGUAAGCGCUGGGAUCAAGUCCAACGUAACUUUUGUUAGCGGGAGAAGGCGGCAAAGCUAAAAUUGAGAGGGAGGCAAGUGGUGGUGGUUUGGGUGGUGGUGCAAUGUCAAGUUGGGGAUGGGUUUCAGCCGUUAGGCUGAAAAUGGGUGUAGAAAGAUUAUUUCGUAUAAGGGUAAAAUGCGAAUUAUGAAGAAUAAUUUUUGUUUGGGUUGUGAUAUCCGCACACCCCAUUUUACUUCUCACACACCCUUCUAAUUUUUGACCAUUGGAUCGGAUUAAUUGAAGAAGAUCAACGGACAAAAAUUAACAAGGGGUGUGAGAAGUAAUUUGGGGUGUGUGGAUAGCACACCCCUUUUUGUUAAUGGGUGUAGAAAGACAUAUUCUGGGUCUAAAUAAAACUACUCUACUUUCUAAUAGCCCGUUUACUAAUUCUUAAUUAUAAGAGGAAUUGAACUGAUGAUGAGUUAGAUUGGUGUAGAAUCAGAAUCAAAUUCUGGUUGAAAUUGUUUACUAUUUUUGUGGCCACGAGCAGAGCUGGCGGAAACACAGAAUGAUGAAAACGAAAAACACUCACUCGACGGUGAGAAAGCUCUCACAGGAGGAGAGAAAGCCUCGAGAAUUGGAAGUCUACCCAUCUAAUUUGAUCGUAUCUUUUUUAUUUUUAUUUUUUUAUUUUUUUUACAUUUUAUCAAAGAUACUUCUUCAUAAACAGGCAAAAGGAAUACAAGAUUAGGAGAAAAUUUUCAUUGUGAUGGGAAUAUGAGUGGUACAUCACGUGUUUUUAUGUAAGUGAUGAGAAAUUUUAUUUUUUAAGUUAUUAACUUUUUAAUACACAUAUCCCACAAUUUGUAUAAUGACACAUGGUGUACCACCCUGUGUGCCGAUCACACUAAAAAAUUACUCUAGGUCAGCUGCCAACUGCAGGACCAUAUAAAGAAGAAACUAAAAUACAGAUAGGCAAGAAACUUAAGGCCAGAUAAAGAAGACCACCAACAUAGCUGUGUUGUUGACCUUAAGAACCAAGCAACCACAAAAAUCAGUGUGGGCAGGCGAGGCCAUCCAUGGACAUGAAAUAAACUAGAGCAUAUGGGGGUCAGGAAACCCAAACUUCCAGAAUUAUCCAUCUUUUACAAUGCGAGAAAACACCAAAUUUUCGGACACACGAGAAAAUAUGUCUGCGCGUUGGUGCGGGAACUUGUUGUUUCAAGUGUAAUCGGAUGAAUAAAACACGUUUAAGUUGAAUAAAUUCAACACAAUUAUGAACAAAGUCUUUUUUAUAUACAUUCAAGUGAGCUGGCAUAUAAACACAUUGUACAAUUUGUGGGAAAAACUAAACGUCUUUGAUUAGAAAGAGAUGGUUUCCAAAAAAAAAAAAAGCAUUAGUUCACACAAAAUUUCGGUUACCAAAUCCAAAAAAAACCAAAAACAAAAAUGUGACUCUCUAUAUGGCUUUCUUACUACACAAAAAUAUUCCUUAGUUAAAGCAUGCCACACAUCAUAUGCCACACAUCAUCACAUUGCUAUUAUAUGAAGUAUAUUCCUCAGUGGCAAGCAAUAUACUCUCCUUAGCAUGACCUCUCAAUCCCCUCUCUUUAUCUCCCUAGAAUCGUACAACCCAUAAAGACAGUGCAUAGACAUACGCUCACACACUGAAGAAUGAACGCAUUAUAUUUAGUUGGCACCGUUCAACUUUAAAAGCAGUGAGACCUUCCAAAGGCACAGCCUAACUGGCCUUGGUUCAAAUAACCAAAUUGAGAACAACAAUUGAAUUUUAGAAAAGCUGUACAGAGGGGAAAAAAAAGAAAAAACAAUCCUAUCACAACUGAAAAACAAAAUCAAAAUGAACUGAAUAAAAUUUCAGCAGAGCUUGAACACUAACAUCCUUUGAAAACAUGUGUUGGUUACGUAUAAUAUAUAUGCGCAUAAAUUAAGAAAAUGACUUGAGUGCCCUAGCAGUAGUCUUUACGUUGAACCAAAUCACUAUUAGGUUAAAUGUAUUGAUUCACGCAUCUUCUUUUAUGUGCUAAAUAUCUACUAAAUUGCCCUACGAAAAUGACAUAAAACAACUUUUAAAAGUGACAAUAUAUGCAGCACCAGGAUGUUGCAGAACUCACUGCCCCAAUUUAAGAUUCAGUUUUUGUCCAAUGUAUGUAUAAGCUUAGAUACAUCUGAGAAUUUGCUUUUCAACAGUUGUUACUCUCAUCUUCUUUUGAGAGAGAUAGAUACAAGGGUUAAGAUUACAAUGGGGAAGAGUUAAGAAUCCCUCUAAAAUACUAAAGAAAAACAUACCUAGAAUGGAGUAAACAACUAUUUGUCUCCAUGUCAGUUUCUCAUAGCAUUUAUGCUGUUAGAAAGAUAGUGCUCCACUCCAGAAGGAUGGACAAAUUUACCAGAUGGAGACUGACCCAAAGAAAACAUAAUUAAAAGUUAGCAUCUGACGAACAAUUAAGGUGAUGCAAAAGAGCAACACGUGAUGUGAAAUUAUUAUACCAAAAUAUCUAAGGUCUGUUAAUCCAAUCACCCAAUAAAACAGAACUGAAAUUAAGCACAAUAAUAUCAAAAUUAAAAGGAAGGAAUAAUAUGAAACAUUGUGCAUAGAACGUUCGUGAGAAUGAAUCACACAACAAUCAAGGAUGGACAAAUCACAAAAGUGACAAUUAAAGGGCACCUAACAGACACCCCCAUCUCUCUCUCUCUGCAAUCGCAGAAAUCCCUCGGGUUUCAGGAAGAAAUGGAAAACGAAAUGCUUUUCCAUCCCCUACCUAUACCCAUACCUCCCUUACCCGUUCCCUUUACCCUCACAGAAAAUCCUCCCAUCUCUCUUUCUCACCCUUGUCCCAUCUGUCUGUCUGCAAAUUGCAAAAAAGAAACCCUAAACAAAUCCCUGAAAUCCCUCACCUAAAUCCCCUCACAUUUCUUUCAGAACACCCCCCUCUCUUUCUCUCUGCAAAACCUAAACCAGAUCUCCUAGAUCCUAUCUCAAACACCCGACAUACAACCAAGAAGCCAAGAUAUUAAAGCAAUCUCUACAUAAUACUUUGGAACAAUGAAGCAAAAUGGUUCUUGUUUCUUGUCCAAAACCGUUGGUGCUGCCGCACAUUGUUAUCAGUUAAGGGUUUAUCAAAACCCACCCAAAAAUUACCUUCAUAAAAAAUGCCACCACAAACCUAUUAAGCCCAGUCAAUCAAGAACCUACUUGAUUAAUUUCAACUCAGCAGAUAGUCUAGGUUUUUUGUUUUUUAUGCAGUAAUUAUAGAGCAAAUGGAUAAAAUUAUUGACUAUUUAUACACUAUUGUUGUUUCAUAAGCUUCUCAUUUUCUUAGUAUCAAGCUCUCUUUGUGGGCAAAAAUUAUAAUAAUAAUAAUAACAAUACUAAUUCAAUAAGUAAUGGAGAUUACCAAGGAAAUGAGUUUUAGGUUCUGAAUGGUUUACCGAUUCCCAUCCAUUUGGUGUGAAGACUUUCUUUGUUUUAUGUUAGUUGACGCACAAACUCUCACAAAUGGUGUUUCAACAACCGACCUUGCUCCUAACAAACUGCAAGAACAGAAAUUGCAUUAUAUGAAAAUAGUUGAAAAUUAUUCUUUUAAUCGUAAAUCAUAAAGUUCGAAACUUUCAAUCAAAAUAAUUCAGAACCUCAAACUGAGAACAAAACUUCUACAUUGAUAAUAACAACCCCGAACAAUGAACGAAACAUUGAACCGAAAUCAAAUCAUGUGAUACCUUUUCAGGUGAUGCCCCUUAUCAGAUCAGAUUAUGUACCCAAGAAUGGACUGAAAACAAAGCACUCAUCAGUGUAGUACAUUACACAAAAUUCCAUUUAAUUCUUCACCAAAAAAAAAAACAACACAUUUAAAUAACAAAAUAUAAAAAAAUCCAAGAAAGUAAGUUCAUAACCAACAACCAAUCAUCAAGAACAAACCCCAUCAAGCCCAAACCCAAAUACAAACGCCACUAACAUAAUCACCCAAAAUUCACUACAGUAAACACAAAACCCACCAAAAAAUUACCUUCAUAAAAAAUGCCACCAAAAACCUAUUAAGCCCAGUCAAUAAAGAACCUAUUUGACGAAUUUCAACUUAGCAAAUAGUUAGAUUAUUGCCCAUUAAACAGGUAGAUCAAAGUAAGAGUAUAUCCAGUUAAUAUUACAGUACAAAUUUUGCAUCCCAAGGAAAAAUACCAAAUUCAACCUCAACCAAUAAAAUAGCAUUAAGGAAUGUGAAUUUUCAACUAUUUUGACCAAAUAAACAACUUUCCAUUCUAAUUUCAUCAAUUUCUCGGUAAAUUAAAAAGGCAAAAACAUAUAAUUAGAAGCCAAUUCAACAAUUAACAAAAAAGUUACAAAAAUUAACUCAAAUUCGGUAGCACAGCCUGCUAUAAAGUAGAGGAAGUGUAUGAGUAAUGGAUGUCCAGGGUUGGUCCUUAUGCAGAAGGAAGCAUAGGAAGCAUAAAUGGGAUAUCAAGUGAGGAUCUCAAGUAAAUUUGCAACAACACAAAACCCAACCAGCAACAAUUUGUUCAUUACAUCUUAAAACACAAAAUUUUGUCCGAAAAAUAAGACAUUUAAUGCAGAAAGCUCAAAACUUUGCCUCUCAAAACUAACAUCUGAGAGAGCAUUGCACUUCUUAUCUUUAAAAGCAUGAAUGGUGAACUAAACAAAAGAAUUAAGAAUCUACAAUGAACUAAAUAAAAACACACUUUUUACAAACAUAUUCGCACAAAAAUUAAAACUGUAUUGAGAAACUCACCAUUUUGACAAAAAAAAAAUUAUACCAGUAACUGAACACAAUAAUAAAUGAUUUUAGGAUACUUGUUCACUAAUAUAAAUUUGCAAGUUUAAGAGACAAUGACAACCUGAAUCCUUAAAAAGGUUAUUUACACCUAAAAUGAAACAGACAUAUCCAAAGGACAUAACAUAGUGAUCUUUUGUGAGUUUAAUAUCCGGACUGGAGUUUUUAAUUUUAUGUGGUGUUUGCUGUUCUGAUCUGCCCUUUGUAGGGGUUGUGGUUGGGUUGUUCCAGGGAGGUAUGUUAGACUGUUUACUGGCCCGGAACAGAUGUUAAAAUGAUGGUGCCUUCCUUAAGAAGAGAUAAGACCAUAUCGCAUGACAACUUUUAAAAUAUACGGGUUCAUAUAACAUAGAAAAAUGAACAAAUAAAUGCACACCCAAACUACAUGUGCCAGUCAAAUUAAAGGAUGACUUCUUGCUGAGAACAAAAGUAUAAAAAAAAUGAAUACUUUACCUGCAUAUAUCGCACGACAGUGCUAGUAUAAUCAACUGCUUUCCUCUGUGUAAGCUUUCUCAUCUUUUAUCCAAGAAAAGUGUCAGCAUGAGCUGCAACAAACAAACAAUUUGUCACUCAUUAUAAAAAAAAAGGGAAACUAUAUUAAAUUCUGCACUAAACCUCUCAAAAAAAUUAAACCACUAUUUUCAAAUAUCAUUUACACCCUUGGCCUCACUGCCCUACCCUUUUAAAUUGCAAAUCUCAAUAACUUCAAGAUCUAAAACCAAUUCUAAAGGUUUAAUGCGCUUUAAAGUUGAAAAUCCCAGUCAACAAAAGAAGUAUAAUGCAACCAAAUUCUUGUUUAGGUACUUCCCCACAAUUCAAUUGUUUUCUUUUAUUCUCCAUUAAUUUCCAACCGAAACCGAAAAGAACCAGAACAAAAUAGCAAAGACAAAGGCAUAAUUUGGUACAAACCAUCAUAAGGAGGAAGAGGAUGAGCAAGCACAGGUGGGUUGUGAUACUUCGGGGGGCAUACCGACGGCUGAUGCAUCAUUGGGGCCGGUGGUGCCCAGGGGGGGAUAUGAAAUUCUCCGCCCUGCUGUUGACGCUACUGGUGUUGCAAAUGUUGCUGCUGAUGUUGAGGGUGUUGCCGCUGAUGUUGAGGGUGUUGCUGCUGAUGUUGCGGGUGCUGUUGUUUGUGGUGUUGUGGAUCAGGGUACAUCAUUGUCACCCCAAAUCAAAGUACUAUGAGGAAGAGAGAAAGAAAGAAAAAAAAAAAACCAAAACCCUAGGAUUAGAGAACUGAGAAGUGGAAAGUUGCACCAAUUUAAACGCCUUCUGCCAAGCUAAAAAUUGAAUUCAAUUUGCAAAAGUAGUCACACUGGCUAUGAAUUCAAGUCAAAGAGGGCCUAAAGAGUGAAAUUUAGAGUUUCAACACAACAUGGCCUUCUCAUAGAUAUGGUUUCUUUUCAUGAUUUGAGAGAAAAACCCAUCAAUCGAUUGACAGACUUGAACAAUUAGAAAGUAGUAAAGCAUGUAAAAAGCAUAAGAUUUAAAGCUGUUAUGGAUCCAUAUUUCACUAAAGACCACACACGCAGAAACAACCCCCCCUUUUUUCCUUGAAAUCCUACGCCCACCCCUGUGACUGUGCAAACCAUGCAAACCUCUUUGUGACACCGACAUCACCUCUCCCCCCUUCAAUUAAAUGCAUGAACAUCAUACAGUGAAUUACACAUAAAGUACAACAUUAUCAAGUAUACCUCAAGGCGACAUUGGAUACAAUCAUUUUCAAGUCUUCAUCUCUGACACCAAGAGCACUCAUUCGUUAUACAUUUCUUUAUUAACUGAUCAGCUAACUGAAUUUAAAAUUAGCUUCCAAACCAAAAAAGUUCUGAACUUUUAAUUCUACAAUCAUAUUGAGUUCUUCAUCUCUUACUCUAAAUCCCAAUUACAGAAAGACCUAAACUUUACUCAAUUUAAUAUUGCUUUCCCCCAAAACAGCACAAUCCCACAAAAAUAAGGUUAAAAUAAAAACAACAAUAAAUCAUGAAUUAAAUUAAAUUUCUCACCUCCACCUCUAGUAGAGCUUUCACAUUCUUAACCUAUCACCAAAAAAAAAAAAAAAAAUCAAAUUCAAGUAAAAAAAAUAAAGGAGAACUUGAACUUCCAAAUUAAUUGAAAGAACUAUAAAAUCAAUUGGGGGUUUCUACUGAAGUGAAAAGUAAGGGUUUUACAAUCUCAUAAGGAUCGAUGUCUAAGGAGAGGAUCUGUUCAUCUCCGUUCAUCACUAUGAUCUUAUCUUCUUCAAUUCGUCGCUGCGAUUGGAUCUCCAAUCACACACACACACACACACACACAAAAUAUACCCAAUAACCCAAAAGCUAGAAACUAAAACCUAAUCACCCAAAAUCCCCAAUCCUCAACCAAAAACAUAAUCAGUCACAUAUACUACAUACUGAAUCAAAUGCGGAAACUCAAAUCAAACGCCUUCAAUUGCCUAAAGUUUCAAAAUUCAAUCAUUUUGUCGAGCCUAAAUUUGAAAAAUUACAAUCCCCUCUUGACUAACUCCAUCCAAAGAUUCGAAAUACCAGAAAGCAAAUAAUUGUACUAAAAAUUAAGUAAAUUAAGUAUAAAUUAAAAUCAACUUAACAAAAAAACAACAAAGCUACCAAUCACAAUAGGAAUUCUGCAACUACACACUAUUUACAGUGCUAUGCAAAACUCAUAUUUGAAUGAGGGCCUUUACUAUUGAAUUGAAAGAUGGCUGUUCUUUUUUUAAAUUAGGAUGAUCUCACCAAUCAAAAUUACAGCGCUGUGCAAAACUAAUAUUCAUAAUCUAUACCAGCUCUAGCUUGCCUCCACCCGUAACAGCUCUGGUAUGAGAAAUACAGCGCAAUUAGGAUAGAGGAAACCCAAAUAAUGGAAAUUCAAGAAAUUCAACAUACCAUAAGAUUCUUUCUGACGGCCAAAUUCAUCGACAACGGAGGCAAUUGUUGACCGUCACUGUACCUCCAAUUCGCGCCUGCCAUGUUUGAGGCUUUCAACCGUCACUACUUGGUUUGUGGGCUUCACAUCAAAAGAUAAAGGGCCUUAUCAAAACAGAUCCCACUAACCUCCCUAUUUAAAAACAGAACGUGAUUUAGGUGAUUAAAACUCAUUUGAACAAUCAGCAAAACUUGAGUGAAAACAAUUAACUAAUUAACCACUUGCACCCUGCUCACAAUGAAAAGCAAUUUCAAAUCAACAACCAUAUGAAUCCAGAUUCAUUAACAGGGAUGCUUGGCUGAUAAGAAUCCAGGGCACAGAUGAAACCUUGCUAAACUUGGCAUUUCGUCAUUCAAACAAUUGAAUGAAAGAACAAAAUUAUGUCCAAUCAUUCACAAACAACCACUUUUGCCAUAAUUUUGUUCUUUCAUUCAAUUGUUUGAAUGACCACAUGCCAAGUUUGGCACGGUUUCAUCUGUGCCCUAGAUUCUUGUAAAACACGAAGUUUAAAGAAACAUGAAGCUUUAAAGUAACAGAGGCAUAAAUGAAAAACCUUGGAAUAAACUUAACUUAAAUGUAAAAUGGCAAUUGGGUUAACAAAUCUUGGAAUAAAACUAAAUCACAAAAUGAAAAGCACCUCCAAUAAAUUGACAUUUUAUACUUUUGGCUGGCCAAAAAAUAUCUAUCUUUGCUGGAAUAUGCAAAUAAAAAUGCAAAUUGACAAAAACAUUGAAAUUGAAAUGCAUAGAAGCAAAGCAAAUUACAAAACCUUAAACCAAAUGACAGCUUGGAAAUGGAAGCAAAUGUGUGAACUGUUUUUAAUCAUUUAGGUUUAAAUGAUUGGCAAAAGAAAGAGCCAUUCUUUGAAUCAACAUGAUAAAAAACAGAACAUGAUUUAGGUGUUCAAAUAACCAAAACUGAGAAAAACAAAUUACGAAAAAAAUUGAGAAAAACAAUUAAAUUUAAAUGCACAGAACAAAACAAAUUGAGAAAAACACUUAAAUUGAGAAAACUCUUAAAUUUCUUUAUGCACAGAAGUAAAGCCAAGCAUAAAACGUCAAACCAAAUCACAGCCUGUAAAUGUCAGAGCUUCAAAGCAUAGAUAUACUCUAAAUCAAAUAUAAUUAAAGCUAAUCAAACGAAAUUAAAGCUUAUUAAAACAAAUAAGAACUUGGAAAUAGAAAAGCAGCAUAAUAAAAAAAACGAAAAAGCAAAGAUUGAAGAUGGAAAAGGAACCUGCAAUUAGGUUCUCGAGACGCAAAGAGACCAAGAGAACGAAAAAAUACAAUGCAAGAAACCCUAAUUUAUUAGAAAAAAUCAUGAACAGUUAAAACCUAGGUUUAUUCAAACAGUAAUCUAGGAAUUGAAAGAAGGCUUACAUUUUGAAUCGAAGGGAAACCAGCAACAAAAGGCUUCAAUCACUACCUUUGUAUGUUCGAUUGAUCAGUAAAAUACACAGAAUAAGAGUUACAUCACAUAGCAAUAAAUUAGAGAGAAUUCGAAGACAAAAGGAGAUUGAAAUGUGUAAACCUCACAAACAUCACAAACCCUAGAAUUCUUGCCGACCAAAAUCACAAUUUCGAAUCUGAAGCUGCAUGAUAUGAAUAGAGUUUGUAAACCUAAUCCUAAAGCACAAAAGAUUUGAAACAACCCUAGGUAGAGCUUUCGAAACCAACCCCCUUUCUCUCCCUCGAAUCGUACACCCCCUGUGACUCUGUCUGCCUGCAAGCCACAUGCCUUCCUCUCACCAAAUCUCUAUCUCUCUCCCUCCCUGUCUCUCUUCUCUCUCUGCUCGCUCGCUUUCUCUCUCCCGACGGCAUGCUGUCCCCGAGUCCCACUGCAGCUCAUCAGAAAGAAAGGAAAUGAAAGUCUCUAACCCACCCAUCCCGUUCGAAACCCUACAGACUAAAAUGACCAUCGCACCCCUGCCUUUCCAUGAUUAUAACACGCAGCAUGAAGAUCAGCAGCAGAGAGAGCCAGUGGCAUCCUCGUAAAUAAAGUGAAAUUGGGGUCCAAAAACAAUGAACAGUAAAGAACAGUGCCAAUUGGAAUGCUUUCUUUAGACUAAAGUAAUUCCUCUUUUAUAAUUUGAUCUUAUCUAAUUCGACCAUAUCUUCUUUGUCAGUAGUGUAUUUAAACUCUGCAAUGUGAAAGCAUUAGUGUUUUUCUCAGCACGUUAUCCCCUGGACCACACUCUAAUUUGGGCUUAUCAUAUAAGUUUUUUCUUAUCCUAGUAAACAUGACAAGUUUCUGUCCCCUCAAGCUGCCCUGGUAACUUUUUUUUCUUCCACUUUCUUCUUUUCCCUCCGCCCUUUGUUCAAAUUUCCCAUUGUUUUACACUCUUGGGUCAACAAUUGGAUGUUAGCUUGAAUUAUUAUCCAACGAAUAAGAGACUUGAAGUUUAAUUGAUUAACACGCAUGACACAACGCUUCCUCUUAAGUUGAUCUGGUGAUUUUUUCCUUUUACUUCUUCUGCUUCCCUCCAUUUUUCGCUCUUGUUUCUCGUUAGAGACCACUUAAAAAAUACUGAACAAACAAGAGACUUGUAGCUGAAACAGUUAACAAUAAUUAAUUAUGCACUUGAAGUCCAACGUUCGAUUUUCGCUAAAUGAAAAUUCUUUGUCACUUUCAAGAUUCAAAUAUACCUACAGAGGAAGAAAUGUUCCUUAAACGAAACAGAACAAGGACAACGGGACAACCUUCGUGAAACUUAACCAACAAACGAAUAAAUAAAUAAGUAAAUAAAUAAGGAGUAUGAUUAUUUCCCCUCUUUUUUUCAUCUCCUUCUUCUCACAUUAUCUAUUUUGUCUUUCUCUUUUUAUAAAAAAAUAAUAUAAGAUGUUGACGUGGCUUAAUUGUGACCGUUCAAAUAGGAGGAGAGGGAAGGAGAAGGAACAAAAAAGGAGAGAGAAUCAUACUUCAAUAAAUAAACGCAGAAGUGCCUUUAUGGAAGUGCAAGGAGACAUUUUCCAAAAAAUUCCAAUACAAUUUUCUUUCUUUCUUCUAUAUCUCGGCCUGCAAAAGAUAAGGUUGGUAUUUAUUUCGAGUUUCACAUGAUUUAUUAAUAUUUAAUGACAUAAUUGAAUUGUUCGUUGCUUAUUAGCAUUUGGGUGCAAAAUAUAUUGCUUGAAAUCUUGAAAAUCUGCUGCUCAAUAUGUUAGUGUGUAAAUUAUGAUCUGAUGUGGCAGUUGCAAUUCCAGCUCAUAUUGCUAGGAUGUUUAGCUAAAUUGGUUGUAUGCUUAUUUAUUUAAGUCUCAUAGGUCUUAAGUAAGUAGACAUGUGUUUUCAUCUCAUAGGGUGUAAGAUGGAAGGCUGAGAUUGUUUUGAUGUAAUUUGAAUACUACCAAAAGAGUGCAACGAUUAGAAGUGAGUGGAAUUCCCUUCAUCUCUCAGAUAAAUGAAAUGGUGAAUGUGUGAAGAAUAUUCAGAGUCAUAUUCAUUUAAAAAUAGCUCAAAACCCAUGAUAUCUCAUGGUUUUCAUUUAUCAGAAAAUAAGAAUAUUUUAAACACAUUACAUAAAUAAUUCACCUCAAUAAUUCAAGCUUUGGCAAGGCAACUCAACUAACAUCUCCACAAACCUCAAACCCUAGCUCGCUAUCUCUCUCUAUACCUAUAUAAUAUAUAUACACACACACGUACAUACAUAUAUAUACAUAGAUAUAUACUAAUGUACAUCACCCCUACGUAAUGCAUGCAUUGCAUGCUUCUGUGGUUUCAAAAGAAUGGAGCCCUUGCUCCUGUUUAUUGGGGAUUGGAGUCGGUUAUAAUUAACGUUAAAUGCAUGACUAAGCCUUUCAAUGAAGUGGUGGCAAUAGAAUGUAAGAAAUCAUCUAGGAUAUUGACAGCUACAGCCUACAUGCAAGACGUGUUCUACUUAAGUUGGAGGUGUCAUGAACACGGGUUGCCAAGUAUAAGAGUCAUCAAAUUGUAGGUGCAGGUGUCAAAUGCAGGGAUUAAGCAUGCAACACGUAUAAGCUAGUAGCUGCAUACGAUCAUCACAAUAGAGUGCACAAUAAGCACUCGUAAUGAUUGCUGAAGUGAUGAGAAGGAUGAAAUGGAGGUGGUGCUGUCAGUUUGCAUGAAGUGAGAAGAGCAGGUGUUGCAUUCGUAGGAAUGCUUGAGGUAGAUUGACAGGUGGUAUAGUAAAAAUAGGAAUUGGAUCCCCUCCGAGGCAAACCCUCGGGAUCUUCUUGGAGUGAAAUCAGUUCACAUUUUAAAAGGGGCAGUUAGUGUGUAAAUUGUGAUCUGAUGUGGCAGUUGCAUUUCCAGCUUAUAUUGCUAGGAUGUUUAGCUAAAUUAAUUGGUUGUAUGCUUAUUUGUUUAAGUCUCAUAGGUCUUACGUACGUAAGUUGAUAUGUGUCUUCUUCUCAUAGGGUGUAAGAUGGAAGGCUGGGAGUGUUUUGAUGUAAUUUGAAUACUGCAAAAGAGUGCAACGGUUAGAAGUGAGCGGAAUUCCCUUCCUCUCUCAGACAAAUGAAAUGGUUCUCUGUUCUCUCUCUCCCUCUACUAUCAUCUCUUCCAUUUUCGUACUGUAAUUUCUUCUAUUCUCUGAGGAAAUCUGUGUAGUCAUGGCUCACAGUUGCAUAGCUUACUCGAACACUAACAAAAUAUUGGACAAAUUCCAGAAUUAUUAUUCUGUUCUUUUUGCUCUGUUUAUGGUAGUUAACUGAUUUUUUUUUCAUAAUUUUUAUUGGUUCUUCAAAAUUUAGGUUGGGAACUUUUGGUGUUCUUUUGUGUAAACAUUCUUGUUAAAUACUUGAUAUUUUUGUUUGUUCUCUAUUUAUUUUCUGCAUAUUUUGGGGUCUUCUGGUUUUGAUUCUGUUGACUAUUUCAAGUGAUUUUCUAAGAGGAUGAAAAGAUUAAGCGUUUUCGGGUUUUCUGGUUGCUUUUGUUUUGUUGAACGUUUGAAUCUGUUUUCCCUUCUUUCACAGCUUGCUGCAACACAAGAUAAAUAUGGAAGUCAAAUUUGCAAUCAAGAACGAUGUCACCGAAGUAAGAUUUUUCCUCACGAAAGUCAAGCAUUCUAUUUUGACUUUGAUUUGUUUUUAGUUUUCCUUUGUUUGUAGGGAACUUUAACGAAAAGCUUCCGGUACUAUUCACUUUAACAAAAAAUCAUAUUUUUACACUAAAAAUUCUACCUGGUACUAUUCACUUUACCCUUUAUUUUGUCAUUUUCAUUAAAAUUCAAAGUUUUCAAACUCUUUUCAUUAUUUUUCUUUGUUUUGAUAUGUUGAUUUGGCUUACGAUGCGCUCUCGUUGUACUCUUGGUUCUUGCAGCUGAUUGGAAACACCCCGUUGGUAUAUCUCAACAAUGUCGUGGAUGGUUGCGUAGCACGAAUUGCUGCCAAGCUAGAGUCAAUGGAGCCCUGCUCAAGUGUAAAAGACAGGCAUAUUCUUUGCAAUUUUUUCCUUGGGAAUAUUAAUUUUCGUUUUCUCCUAGAACGACAGCAAAUAAAAACUCAACAUUGAUAUACACGUUUGAUCUUAAAUUUGUAUAUGCAGGAUUGCAUAUAGUAUGAUCAAGGACGCCGAGGAUAAAGGUCUAAUUACGCCAGGGAAGGUUAGCUAUAAAUCUUUAGGAAAACUAAUGAAAAGGGUAUCUGUAGAUGUUUUUUCAGCAUGUAAUGGAGAUUUUACAAGUUUAAUCAUCGUUCAAUAUAGUUAAUACUUAUAAGGAAUGAGCCUCGCUCCACCCCCACCCCGCCAUUGUUCUUAUUGCUGUGGCUGGAUCACUUUUCUCUGUAUCCAAAAUAUUUUCAAGUAGAAUUCCGCUAACAAAAUCUAUACAUAAAUUUUCUCUUUUGUUUCUGUUCUUUUGUGGAUAACAAGCUUGACUAUGUAAGGGAGUUUCCACUUACAUGAUCGAGAAUGUGGCGUGGCGUGGCGUGUUUCAUGUUUCAACGAACUAACUUCCCUUGGUUCUUAACAUGCAUGAUCUUCGGGAACUGAAGACUGUUCUCAUUGAGGCCACGGGUGGCAACACCGGCAUUGGAUUGGCAUUCAUUGCAGCAAGCAGGGGCUACAAGGUUAAGGUAACCAUGCCAUCUUCAAUGAGUAUUGAGAGAAGAAUUGUGCUCCUAGCUUUCGGGGCUGAGGUGUACCUCACAGAUCCUGCCAAGGGUACUAAGGGAGUCUUUGAUAAAGCCGAGGAAUUAUUGAGUGACACGCCUAAUGGUUAUAUACUUGGCCAAUUUGAAAAUCCUGCCAAUCCGAAGGUAACUUUUGGAGUGACUGUGACAUGUCUAGAUGGUUGAGAGAGUUUAUGAAUCGAUAUGUGACCGUUGGUGUAGAUUCAUUAUGAAACCACUGGCCCGGAGAUAUGGAGAGACACAGGAGGGAAGGUUGAUGCCCUGGUUUCGGGAAUAGGUACUGGGGGUACAGUUGCCGGUGCAGGGACAUUCCUUAAAGAGCAGAAUCCAGAGAUUAAGGUUGAAUUUUGUUUGUAUUAUAUAUACGGAUAUCACACGAGUACGUGAGGAGAAAAGUUAGUAAUAAGCAUUUUCUUUUGUCUAGGUGUACGGUGUAGAACCAGCCGAAAGCCCAGUCUUGAACGGUGGCCAAGCUGGUGAGUUACUAUGAUGCUGGUGUUUUCCUCGUCUCCGGCUCUCUGCACUAUUGCUUUCUUUGCUCGUGAAUAUUUUUUCUUGUAGAACAUAUUACAACAGAACGUGAAGAGGAUGCUAGGUUUUUCGGGUUAGCUUUUUGUCUUGCAGAAUAGAGCAAAACAUGAGUAAUGUUUCUUCGUCGUUAGAAUGUUAAACAAUUUGCAAAGUAUUGCAUUAUAGUUUGAUUCGUUUAAGUGGCCCAUCUGUGGUUCAGUUUCUGUAGUAUGAAAUUACCGUUCCAUAGUAUUUGAGAUUUUGUCCUCCUAUAUUGACUGAUGUGUAUGUGGAUUUGUAAUAUGUCUCGCUCGUGUCAAAGGGAAGCAUCUGAUCCAAGGAAUUGGUGCUGCACUAUUGCUUCUUUGCUCGUGAAAUUCUUUUUCUUGUUGAACAUAUUACAACCGAACAUGAAGAAGAUGCUAGGUUUUUCGGGUUAGCUAUUUGUCUUGCAGAAUGGAGCGAAAUAUGAGACAUGUUUCUUCGUCGUUAGAAUGUUAAACAAUUUGCAUAGUAUUACAUUUUAGUUUGAUUUGUUUAAGUGGCCUCUGCGGUUAAGUUUCUGUAGUAUGAAAUUACCGUUCCAUAGUAUUUGAGAUUUCGUCCUCCUAUUGACUGAUGCAUAUAUGGGUUUGUAAUAUCGUUGCUCGUGUCAAAGGGAAGCAUCUGAUCCAAGGAAUUGGUGCUGGUAUCCUACCUGUAGUUCUGGACAUUAGCUUGCUUGACGAAGUUAUUGAAGUAAGAGUUCAGCUCAUUUUAUUGCAUUUCAGUUCUAUAAGUUCUUGUUUCAUUUUGGUGCCAACAACUCUAAUACAAGCACGAAUUUCUCGUUAACGACUGCUGAUGUUUAUGUAACAUUUAGGUAACAAGUGAGGAAGCAAUUGAUACCGCGAAGCAGCUUGCCCUGAAAGAAGGUCUUCUGGUAUGGUAUCAAUUAGUUGACAUCGCUUUCACUUUUGUGUCGGUGCUAGGAGUUUGUUACUCUCCAUUAGUUUGUUAGACGAGAAAUUUGAGACUCCUCUUGUUGCACGCAUUCAUCAUUUUUCCAUUUACGGGUCUGAUUGUGAGAGCAAAUUAACAUUGCAGGUGGGGAUUUCAUCUGGUGCCGCGGCCGCUGCUGCAAUAAAGUUGGCUAAGAGGCCGGAAAAUGCAGGAAAACUCAUUGUUGUAAGUCUGAUUUUGCACUGACCCUUUAGCUUAUACUAUUUCUUCGCUUAAACUUGACUUGGAAUUGUAAAUUCGUAAUCAAAUGCAAUUCUUUCAAACAGACACUCCAUUGAUUUCUUCGCUUAAACUUGACCAGGAACUUAUUCCAUUGAUUUGUUACUUGUGAAGGCUGUGUUCCCCAGUUUUGGAGAGCGUUAUCUGUCUUCUGCACUCUUUGAUUCCGUUAGGCAUGAGGCGGAAAACUUGAGAAUUUACUGAAAGUGUUGCUGAAUCGGCCUUUUCUUACUUUCCCAGCUCCUUGAAAUAACGCGAAAACUUUGCUCCAGUUUGAAAUGAAAAUGUUUCUGGGACCUUAUAUAAGAUUAUUACGACCUUUUACCUUACCGAUGAACUAAUAAACUCUGGUUGAUGGCUAUCUUCUUGAUAGCAUCAGUAGAGCAUCCAUGUACCAUAUGAUUCAAGGGGAAUGAGCUAUAUGGUAGCUUACGAGCGAAACC